rnacentral:rRNA from 1 species
UACGUAGGGGGGGAGCGUUGUCCGGAUUUAUUGGGCGUAAAGAGCGUGUAGGCGGCCAGGUAGGUCUGCUGUGAAAACUCGAGGCUCAACCUCGAGACGUCGGCGGAAACCCUCUGGCUAGAGUCCGGAAGAGGAGAGUGGAAUUCCUGGUGUAGCGGUGAAAUGCGCAGAUAUCAGGAAGAACACCCGUGGCGAAGGCGGCUCUCUGGGACGGUACUGACGCUGAGACGCGAAAGCGUGGGGAGCAAACAGG